rnacentral:rRNA from 1 species
UACAUAUGUGGCAAGCGUUGUUCGGAAUUACUGGGCAUAAAGGGUUCGUAGGCGGUUUGGCAAGUCAGGUGUGAAAUCCCUCAGCUUACCUGAGGAACUGCAUUUGAGACUGCCAAACUGGAGUGCUUGAGAGGAAAGUGGAAUUCCAGGUGUAGCGGUGAAAUGCGUAGAUAUCUGGGAGAACGCCAAUGGCGAAGGCAGCUUUCUGGCAAGUAACUGACGCUGAGGAACGAAAGCCAGGGGAUCAAACGGG